GUCUAUGGCCAUGCCACUCUGAACAAGAUCGAUUCCAUUUGAUCUUAGAAGCUAAGCAGGGUUGGGCCUGGUUAGUUCUUGGAUGGGAGACUACCUAGGAAGACCAGGUGCUGUAGGCG
rnacentral:rRNA from 1 species